rnacentral:rRNA from 1 species
UACGAAGGGGGCUAGCGUUGCUCGGAAUUACUGGGCGUAAAGCGCACGUAGGCGGAUCGAUCAGUCAGGGGUGAAAUCCCAGAGCUCAACUCUGGAACUGCCUUUGAUACUGUCGAUCUGGAGUAUGGAAGAGGUGAGUGGAAUUCCGAGUGUAGAGGUGAAAUUCGUAGAUAUUCGGAGGAACACCAGUGGCGAAGGCGGCUCACUGGUCCGGUACUGACGCUGAGGUGCGAAAGCGUGGGGAGCAAACAGG